rnacentral:rRNA from 1 species
GAUGAACGCUGGCGGCGUGCCUAAUACAUGCAAGUCGAGCGAACAGACGAGGAGCUUGCUCCUCUGACGUUAGCGGCGGACGGGUGAGUAACACGUGGAUAACCUACCUAUAAGACUGGGAUAACUUCGGGAAACCGGAGCUAAUACCGGAUAAUAUAUUGAACCGCAUGGUUCAAUAGUGAAAGACGGUUUUGCUGUCACUUAUAGAUGGAUCCGCGCCGCAUUAGCUAGUUGGUAAGGUAACGGCUUAUCAAGGCAACGAUGCGUAGCCGACCUGAGAGGGUGAUCGGCCACACUGGAACUGAGACACGGUCCAGACUCCUAUGGGAGGCAGCAGUAGGGAAUCUUCCGCAAUGGGCGAAAGCCUGACGGAGCAACGCCGCGUGAGUGAUGAAGGUCUUCGGAUCGUAAAACUCUGUUAUUAGGGAAGAACAAAUGUGUAAGUAACUAUGCACGUCUUGACGGUACCUAAUCAGAAAGCCACGGCUAACUACGUG